AGAGUUUGAUCAUGGCUCAGGAUGAACGCUGGCGGCGUGCCUAAUACAUGCAAGUCGAACGAGAGUGCUUGCACUCGAGUGGCGAACGGGUGAGUAACACGUAGGUAACCUGCCUUACAGUUUGGGAUACCCGAGGGAAACCUUGGCUAAUACCGAAUAAUUCUUUUGGAGGCAUCUCCGAAAGCUAAAAGGGGCCUUUAAAGCCUCGCUGAAUGAUGGACCUGCGGCGCAUUAGCUAGUUGGUGAGAUAAUAGCCCACCAAGGCGAGGAUGCGUAGCCGACCUAAGAGGGUGAACGGCCACACUGGAACUGAGACACGGUCCAGACUCCUACGGGAGGCAGCAGUAGGGAGUUUUCGGCAAUGGGGGAAACCCUGACCGAGCAACGCCGCGUGAAACCGAUGAAGGUCUUCGGAUUGUAAAGUUCUGUUAUAAGGGAAGAAUGAUAGCUUGAGGAAAUGCUAGUUAUUUGACGGUACCUUAUUAGAAAGCCACGGCUAACUACGUGCCAGCCGCCGC
rnacentral:rRNA from 1 species